UACGUAGGCAGCAAGCGUUGUUCGGAGUUACUGGGCGUAAAGAGUGCGUAGGCGGUGUCGAAAGUUUGGCGUGAAAUCUCCCGCUUAACUGGGAGGGUGCGCCGAAAACUGCGGUGCUGGAGUGUGGGAAAGGCAAGCGGAAUUCCUGGUGUAGCGGUGAAAUGCGUAGAUAUCAGGAGGAACACCAAUUGCGAAGGCAGCUCGCUGGGACGUUACUGACGCUGAGACGCGAAAGCGUGGGGAGCAAACAGG
rnacentral:rRNA from 1 species